UACCCAGGAACGAUACGCCCCAUUGAGCGUCAUUAUCUCUUCGUGACUUGUCAUUUGCUUGACCUGUCCGGGUUCGGGAUUCAUGGCCGUUUGGCCACGUCUCCUCAGAUUCAUUGCUGCACUCGAGCUGAGUGGGUGACCUUGUCAUGAACUGUCAAGGAAGGCCAGCGAGCUCGAGGUGUGCGAUCCUCCCUCGGGGAGGGAUCAAAGUGGCGUCCACGACGCCAACGUCCAAUGCAUGACCUCACGGGGGUGGGACGACCCGCUAGACUUAAGCAUAUUAAUCAGCGGAGGAAAAGAAACUAACAAGGAUUCCCCCAGUAACUGCGAGUGAAGAGGGAUUAGCUCAAUGUGUGAAUCAGGCUCGGAUUAGCUCCUUGCUUGAGUUGUGCACUAUAGACGGCGGAUCAGCGCUUGAAAGGUUGAGGUGGAUGUCCGAUGAAACUCGGUGCCAUAGCGGGUCAUAGUCCUGUACUUGUCUCACAUCUUUUGCGCAUUUGACCGACGCUCUGCGAGUCGCGUAGUUUUGUAUUGCUGCGCUAAUUGGGAGGUAGAGCCCUUCUAAAGCUAAAUAUGAUGACGUGACCGAUAGCAUACAAGUACCGCGAGGGAAAGGUGAAAAGCAACCAUGCAGAAUGGGUUGAAACAGCAGUGAAAGCGCUACUGGGAUAAGGGCUGGGGAUUGCUUGUGUCGCUUGCGCGUGCUUUAGUGCUGUGCCUGCGGACGGCACGCUUCACUUUGGAUGGGAAGAACAGGGCCUUGGGAAUUCGGCUGGAUCCGUCCAGUGUUGUAGCCCAGGUGCCAGCGGA
rnacentral:rRNA from 1 species